AUGGCCCGUGUAGCGGAGCAAAAACUCCAGCCUAGUUGCCUCGGUGACGCGCUGACGGCGAGGAACGAUGCCGACAACCUCACCGAGCUCAUCCCGUCGCUGCCCGUCGAGAAGCGGCUAGUGCCGCCGCCCGCCGACAUGCAGAGGCGACAGUACCGUGGGUACUGGUUCCCCGAGUGGCACCUGUCGGCCCUGGCGGCAGUCCGCGAUCACUUCGAGCCCAAGCCAACGGACAUCUUCCUCGUGAGCUGCCCCAAGUCUGGCACCACAUGGCUUAAAUCUCUAGCCUUCGCCACUGUGCACCGGCACGUCCACCCGCCAUCCAGCCAGGAGCACCCUCUGCUCCACCAAAACCCGCAUGGCUGCGUCAAAUUCAUCCACGCAAUCUAUCGGCAACCGGUCGAUGUUGUGCAGGGCAUCAUCGAGGCGUACCCUUCCCCGCGUAUCUUCGGCUCCCACUUCCCAUUGUCCUUGUUGCCGGAGCGCAUCAAUGAUGAUGAUUGCGGGUGCCGGAUCGUAUACAUCUGUCGGGAUCCCAAGGACGUGGUCGUCUCGUGGUGGUGGUUCAUGCGCACCUACCUCCCAAACCCCGAGCAGGUCCAGUUCGAGGAGGUCUUCGAUUUGUUUUGCGAGGGCCGCACAGGUGCGGGCCCUUAUUGGCGCCACGCCCUCGAGCAUUGGGAGGAGAGCCGGAGAAGGCCCCACAAGGUGUUGUUCCUCAGGUACGAGGAGAUGCUACGAGACCCGCAAUGCAAUCUUAGGAGGCUGGCGGAGUUUUUGGGGUGCGCAUUCUCCGAGGCGGAGGAGAAGGCCGGCGUCCUAGAGGCCAUCUUGGAGUUGUGCAGCCUUGGCAAGCUAAAGAAGCUGGAGGUGAACCAGAGCGGCAACCGGAUUAAUGACGAACCCAUGAUGAACGAUUCCUUCUUCAGGAAGGGGGUGGCCGGUGACUGGAUCAACCACAUGACGCCAGAGAUGGCGGCAAGGCUCGAUGCAAUCGUCGAACAGGCGCUGCAAGGCACCGGAUUUGACUUCGGCAUCUCCAUGCCACAGUAA
rnacentral:rRNA from 1 species